rnacentral:rRNA from 1 species
GAUGAACGCUGGCGGCGUGCCUAAUACAUGCAAGUCGAGCGAACGGACGAGAAGCUUGCUUCUCUGAUGUUAGCGGCGGACGGGUGAGUAACACGUGGAUAACCUACCUAUAAGACUGGGAUAACUUCGGGAAACCGGAGCUAAUACCGGAUAAUAUUUUGAACCGCAUGGUUCAUAAGUGAAAGACGGUCUUGCUGUCACUUAUAGAUGGAUCCGCGCUGCAUUAGCUAGUUGGUAAGGUAACGGCUUACCAAGGCAACGAUGAAUAGCCGACCUGAGAGGGUGAUCGGCCACACUGGAACUGAGACACGGUCCAGACUCCUACGGGAGGCAGCAGUAGGGAAUCUUCCGCAAUGGGCGAAAGCCUGACGGAGCAACGCCGCGUGAGUGAUGAAGGUCUUCGGAUCGUAAAACUCUGUUAUUAGGGAAGAACAUAUGUGUAAGUAACUGUGCACAUCUUGACGGUACCUAAUCAGAAAGCCACGGCUAACUACGUG